ACCUUGCCAAGUGUACACUCGAGAGAAUGCCACCCACCAUUCUGCUCGCAGCAAGAGCUGCAUUCCCAGCCUGCAGGUGGAACGCUCUCUGCGAGUCGUCUAAGGCUCGGUUCAGCGACUAGCUCAGUGUGAUCUUCCUUCAAGCAAAAAUAAAGAGGGAAUGAGUUGCAGGGGACACGAAAGCUCGGUCUCUUCUCCACGUGGCCCGUUACUGCUCAGAUCUCCCUCUGUGCCUCAUCAUCUCACCGCGAACCCUGCGUGACCUGAUCAUGAACUUGAGGCUGCCGGACCCAGAGUUGGCCUUAUCUGGAGAACGAGGAAGUAUGCCAUCCCUUGUCCAGAGGCAGCCUUCCCCUCUUUAUGCUUCAUUCUUCUGCCAGAGUCUAACCUGACCAUACUGGGGAGAAUGUCUAGAUUUACGCAAUGGCUUUGGGAGUCCCUGGAGGGAGCAGUUUCGCAAACCGGUGAUGGGUCCUCCCCCGCCCACCCCCACACCCCCUCCAGACGCUGGGCCCGGAGUCAGGGUUCUCCGGCCCUGCAGGAUCCUUCAGGAAACGGAGGAAGCAUGGACACAGCCCAGGCAUUUGGUUAAGUAUUUUUAAAAAGCUUUCCAAUUCUGCUAUUUUUUUCUCCUCACAUCCAAUAUUCUUGGUUGCUAAGUGGGAGGAAAUGUGGGGAGGUGGGAGAGGUGUGGAGAACGGAGGGAAAAUUGGCAACAUGAAGGCUGAUGGGUUUAUUUUCUCAUUUUGAACGGGGGUACGGGCAAAGGAAUGCUCCAGGACGGAAGCAACCAGCCUGGGGAGGAUCUCCUGUUAGCGGCGCUUGUGGCCAAGACUUCCCUAGAUCCUGCUGCUUCGGAGAGGCUGGGAGUGGGGGGCUUUUUGGGAACAUAACAUGGGCAUUUUCUAUUUCUGCUUACAGACUUAGAAAAGUGGAAUUCUUUAAAAAUUAAAAUGAUCUUUAUUUUCAGAACAUAUCCGCAAAAGGGAAGAGGCCAGUUUCAGGAUUAUCUUUUCACCGAGAGGAAGAUGGAGCAUGGGGCCAUCACAUGCCACGGGCUGAGCUACGAAGAGGAUUCUUGGCUAAUUCUCGAGACUCCAGCUUUGCAAGGAGCAUGGGGCUGCCUGCUGGGCCUGGGGCUGGACAGCAUGAGCUCCCUCCCUUCCCACUGCACUGCUCACGAGGCCCGGCUGCGGUCACAACUCUGCUGAAUGUUAGUUCACAAGGACCCGUCCCCUAACACGGAGGGCACUGAUUUUGAGUAUUUUCACUUUGAGUAUUUCAUUUUGAGUAUUUUCACCCCUCCUACACUCAGCUGCUUCCCUAACGCCCAUCCCACCUUUCUUCUCCCUGGGCCUGCGGCCUGCAUAGCAAGGCCACUAGCCUGUUGUCUUCCCCCCCGGGGGGCGGGCUGUAAGGGGCAAGUGACAUCCUUCGUUAGUUAGUACACAUUUACAACUUGUGUUGAAUAUUUUUAGCCUCCCAACGUUUAAGAGCCUCCUGUGGGCUGUCCAUACAUCUUGCUAUGAGCUUAAAAAAUGUACCAAGUGUAUGAACUGUUGUCUGAAUGCACUUGAAUUAUUAGGUCCCUUUUCGUUAAAUGACUUCCUUCCAAGGGCAGGACACACUUAGUCAUUUAAAUAGAUGCCAGAAAAACUGCCCAGGACUUGCAAUGGGCACAACAGGUUAGUGGGUGUCUUUCAGUGGUGACUUGGGAGUUGACUAGGGGGCCUUUCCCUGAUUAAUCGGCUUCAGUCGGUGGGGGGGUGCCCUUGACUGACUCCAACUGAUUAAGGUCAUUUUACUGUUCUGCAGGCAAAUGAGACAAAAUUGAUUUCCACCCUGUAAAAAGACAACCCCAAACCAUAUAUUUCAUUAUCCUAUAAGAAUACUGUUUUUGCAUUUCUUUGCAAAUUCAUUUCAGUAACUCUUUCUUUUUUCUUUUUUAAUAUAUUUUAUUUAUUUAUUUGACGGACAGAGAUCACAAGUAGGCAGAGAGGCAGGCAGAAAGAGAGGGGGA